UCCGCAGUAGCUCAAUGGUAGAGCAGCCGGCUGUUAACCGGCUGGUUAUAGGUUCGAGUCCUAUCUGCGGAG
rnacentral:tRNA from 1 species